rnacentral:rRNA from 1 species
GAUGAACGCUGGCGGCGUGCCUAAUACAUGCAAGUCGAGCGAACAGACGAGGAGCUUGCUCCUCUGACGUUAGCGGCGGACGGGUGAGUAACACGUGGAUAACCUACCUAUAAGACUGGGAUAACUUCGGGAAACCGGAGCUAAUACCGGAUAAUAUAUUGAACCGCAUGGUUCAAUAGUGAAAUACGGUUUUGCGGUCACUUAUAGAUGGAUCCGCGCCGCAUUAGCUAGUUGGUAAGGUAACGGCUUACCAAGGCAACGAUGCGUAGCCGAGCUGAGAGGGUGAUCGGCCACACUGGAACUGAGACACGGUCCAGACUCCUACGGGAGGCAGCAGUAGGGAAUCUUCCGCAAUGGGCGAAAGCCUGACGGAGCAACGCCGCGUGAGUGAUGAAGGUCUUCGGAUCGUAAAACUCUGUUAUUAGGGAAGAACAAAUGUGUAAGUAACUAUGCACGUCUUGACGGUACCUAAUCAGAAAGCCACGGCUAACUACGUG